GCAUCUGUGAAGUAUUACUUUUUGUCAAAAUUGGAAAUUCUUCAAACAUUUUUCAAAUCUUUUUUCCAUCUCUUUCCCUCCUUCUCUCCUUCACCUUCAGGGGUUUCCAUUAUAUAUGUAUCAGGUCACUUGAAGGUACCUCAUAGCUUACUGAGGCUCUGGUCUGGCGAGGUCACUUUUUCACUGGCAAGGUGUGGGGGCAGGAUACACCCCGCUAUGGUGGCUCCUACAGGGAACAGAUGUGCUUCAUUUUUGAUCUUUCACAUCUAAACUUCAACUUCUGAACAUAUCAGUAACAAUAAUUGCUUUACUGUCAUCCUCAGCUAAUCCUAAGAUGUGUGUAAGUUCUAAGAUGGUUUGAUUAUUUUCCUCAUUAUGAAUUGUGUUUUCUUGCCUCUUUAUAAGACUAGUAAUCUUUGAUUGGAUACCAGUGAUUGUAAAUUUUAUCUUGUUGGGUGCUGGACAUUUUUGUAUUCCUAUAAACUUCCAAUUUGUUCUGGGAUGCACUUAUGGUAUACAAAACAAGUUUGAGGAACUUUCCGGUGGUCCAGUGUCUAAGACUAAACUCUCAUUGCAGGGGGCCCAGGGUGGAUCCCCAGUCAGAGAGCUAGAUCCCACAUGCUGCUACGCCACAACCAAAGAUCCCACAUGCUGCGACAAAGAUCUAUGAUCCUCAUGCUGCAACUAAGACCUGGCACAGCCAAAUAAUUAUACAGAAAAAAAAAAAACAGUUUGAUCCCUUCCAAUCUUAUGUGUAAAUUUUGUUGGGCAGGACCAGAACACUAAUCAAGGGCUAAUUAUUCCCCAUUACUGAAGAAGGACGCUUCUGAGAUCUCUGCUCAAAUGUUCCAUGAACUUUUCCCCACCCUGUAUGCGCAUCAGGUGCUGUUCCCUCUUUUGAGCUGGUUCUUUCCCAGCCUGAAGUAGUUUGCUAACAUCAUGCAUAAUGAGGACCCUGUGAAGAUCUCCAGAGGUCACUUCUCUGGUACUCUCUCCUGCAAACUCUAGCUGCUUUGGUUUCCCCAGACUUACCUUUCUCUCAGCUCAGGCUAUCUGCUGGGUUCCACCUAUGUUCCUCACCCUGUGUCGCAGGCUGGAAACUCUCUUAAGGUGGUAAGGUGAGAUAAUCAAAGGGCCUACCUUGUUUCUCCUCUCCCAGGGAUCGCUGUUCUUCACUGUGUGGUAUCCGGUGUCUCAAGAACCAUUCUUUCAUCUUUUUUUUCUUGUCUUUUUAGUUGUUUCAGCUGGGAAAGGUACGUCUGGUUGCUACUGCUCCAUCUCAGCUGAAAGCAGAAGUCAAGUUUAGUUUUUAGAUAGUGUACUUCCCUGGACAUGACAGAUGCUGACUCACUCUUAGAAUCAAAGGUUGCAACUACUUCAUCCUUCUGCUUAAUUAUGUGAUGAGAGUUAGAAGAAAGGUACGUAAACGCAUAACUGUAGCCACUUUUUACCUUGCGAUAAUGCCACAUAGAGUGGAGAAACCACUUCCUAGGUUUUGAAGUGUAAGUCAGCCCAUGGAGCAGAGGUAUGACUGACAGUAGAAACACUAUUUC
ensembl:lncRNA